rnacentral:rRNA from 1 species
UACGUAGGGUGCAAGCGUUAAUCGGAAUUACUGGGCGUAAAGCGUGCGCAGGCGGUUUUGUAAGUUUGUCGUGAAAUCCCGGGCUCAACCUGGGAAUUGCGAUGAAGACUGCAAGGCUAGAAUCUGGCAGAGGGGGUAGAAUUCCACGUGUAGCAGUGAAAUGCGUAGAUAUCAGGAAGAACACCGGUGGCGAAGGCGGUCUCUCG